CUCUUAUCCUGAGUGGUGGAGGGAUAUGGACCCAAUGAAACCCAGCAACCUCUUUUUACAUAUAAAAAGAAAGGUGCCAAACCGUUUGCAGACCUAUAAUGUCUGAACGAUAAGAG
rfam:Streptomyces sp. WAC00263 NODE_66_length_21527_cov_115.529053, whole genome shotgun sequence.